rnacentral:misc_RNA from 1 species
AACGGUCUAUACCUGCGGUACCUGCGGAGGGAUCAUUAUCAAUUUACAGCGGACUUCGGUCCUGUCUGCACCCUUGUCCUUUGCGUACUAUAUGUUUCCUCGGUGGGCUUGCCUGCCGAUAGGACACUUAUAAACUCUUUUGUAAUUGCAAUCAGCGUCAGAAAACUAUAAUAGUUACAACUUUUAACAAUGGAUCUCU